rnacentral:rRNA from 1 species
CAGUCGCCGCGGUAAUACGUAGGUCCCGAGCGUUGUCCGGAUUUAUUGGGCGUAAAGCGAGCGCAGGCGGUUAGAUAAGUCUGAAGUUAAAGGCUGUGGCUUAACCAUAGUACGCUUUGGAAACUGUUUAACUUGAGUGCAAGAGGGGAGAGUGGAAUUCCAUGUGUAGCGGUGAAAUGCGUAGAUAUAUGGAGGAACACCGGUGGCGAAAGCGGCUCUCUGGCUUGUAACUGACGCUGAGGCUCGAAAGCGUGGGGAGCAAACAGGAUUAGAUACCCCAGUAGUCCCUGUCUCUUAUACA